GCCCAACAGCUAGCCCCUCCCACCAAAAACAACAAAACCCCAUCAAUAACCCCCAAUACCCUUAACCCCUAUAAACAAAUCAUUUUUCCCCCUUAGUACAGGCGAUAGAAAAGGAACUGUGGAGCAACAGAAAAAGUACCGCAAGGGAAAGCUGAAAGAGAAAUGAAACAACCCAGUAAAGCAUAAAAAAGCAGAGAUUCAACCUCGUACCUUUUGCAUCAUGA
rnacentral:rRNA from 1 species